AUGCCUGUUUCCUUAAAUAUUUAUCACUUCUUUAUGGAUAAAACACUCAAAAUCCUUCUUCUGGUACAAGAUUGCCACCCUAUUGUGUACUAACACAGCAGAAACUCUUACUCCUGUCUCUGUGUAACUUAGUACUGAUUGAUCGACACUUCUCCAUCCUCCCUCUCCUGACAAUAAAAAACCACACAUUUCCUUUCCCCCUCAGACAGGUGACUUUCUGAAUGGACACCACAGAGUAAUGCCUGAGUUUAUUAACAGCGAAAACAUCAUUAGGAGCAGCACCCGAGAAUGGAGCUAGGAUGGCAUCGAGUAAUGAAUCCCUUAAAUGUGCAUGCUAAAGAAAAGAGAUGACUCUCUUUGGCCCAUUGCUGAUGCAAUUUCUACUUCAAUGGUGACUUUCNNNNNNNNNNNNNNNNNNNNNNNNNNNNNNNNNNNNNNNNNNNNNNNNNNNNNNNNNNNNNNNNNNNNNNNNNNNNNNNNNNNNNNNNNNNNNNCCCUACUGUUCCUCACUUAAAGAACCUCCUGCAGCAUUCAACACAGCAAGACAGAGCAGCUGACACAUGAUUAAGAUGCUUCGUGGACCAAGAGAUCCUAGAAGGCCUCUUGCGGCUGCUGAAUUGAGUUUGUUCUUGAUCUUCUGCUAUCAAAACCACAGAGCCAGGAAGAUCUAACACCAAGACACAGCUGCCACACACCCAGGAAAGAGGUGGGUUCAUGUAUCUGAGCCUCAAGGACCUCAUCAGAAAUAGAAGAUGGCAAAAAAUUGUUGUACCCAGGGGGACUGCUUAACUAAAAACAUUAUUUUGUGUACGUGGUGAAGAGGCAUGCAAAUGUUAGUAAUUACCCGCUUUGCUCUGAGUGUAUAGACAUCCUCACAGCUUCAUGACUGGACAUGACAAAUCUCCAGGGCUUGGGCUGGCCUGAUCUUGAUUAAUGUUAUUCAUAAAAAUAUUCAUCCAUCAGGGUUUCCAUUUGUAGCAUUUAGUUGUGCCAAGUAACAGACAGAGCCAGUGGUUUCUUAAAAUUAUGCCAUCUAAUAAUGAAUGCUGGAGACAGAAUUUUUUUCAGGCUGAAAUCUCUUCUUAUAACUCAGGGCUGAUGAGCGCUGCCCUGCAUUUCUCGAUGGAUCCAAUUUAACACCAGACGUAGCAGUGACUCAGACUAACUUAAAUAUCUCAAGACGAGUUUCACCUUUUCCUCCGAGGCCAUAUCAGUUCAAUUGCAUAAGUGCAAAUUUAUUGAAAGUGGUUUGGUGCUUAGCUUUUCUCUAUUGGCAGUAAUGGAGUUUAAAUUUAUAGCAGGCUGAUGAAUUUCAGAUAAGAGAACCAUUACCUUACAACAACAUUAAGGAAAAAUAUAUAACUCCGAUUGCUGAACCUUGAAUGCAUAUUGUUUGAAUGAGGAGAGAUGGAUGAGGUAGGCUGACAUUUGCAAAUGCAAUUCCUUUCCAUCCUCACCCUGCUAGCCCAGGAGUUUGAAAGCAUGGCAUGUUCCAGAAAGGGCUCGAGAUAGCGAUGCAUUACAAGUGCUUUAUAACAAAAUAGCAGGAGUAGGAUAUGACCUAAAGGAGAGGGAUUUUUUCCUCUUUAGUAAUAUAAUUGGAGGUGUCUUUUGGCAAUGUACCAAGGCUAUAACAGGCCUUAGGUCAUUCAUUUGGUACUUGUAAUGUGCCUCUCCCAUAGGUUAUUUUCCUUUUACUACAGGCUUUGUCUUCCCACAGGGUGGGACUCUGGCAAUGUAGACAUUAAAAUGAAGGAUGCAUCAGAGAAGUCCAGAGCAUCCCGGGCUUCUCCAUUAUCUUGAGGUUCUGGCUGUAUGAAAACUAAAAAAGAUGAACUAUUGAAACAGGGCCAUGAAAGUCUUGUUCUGUUUUUAAACAGUUACACCAAAGCAAAUGAACUCUUUAUGUGAAAACAUGCAGUAUUAUUGUACUGUCCAUAAGAUAAUCAGUAUUUUUUCAUAAAGGGACACAAGGUUCUGACUAUGUAAUAAACUUUAUUUUGCAUUCCAGUUCUACAGUUGCAUCUCAGAAGUUAUGUGAAUAUCUUCAUUUGGUGAUAAAGUCUGACUAUUAAGUUUUUUGUAGGUUUUUGGAACUAAUACCCUAACCCUAACCUUAAACCCUAACCCCCUUUGUGCUAUCUCAUUUCUAUUCCAGUCCCCUGUGGUUCAUAGCUAUAUAGAUAAGUUUUGUUUUUAAGUUUAAAAGAAUGAUAAUUAUAUGUGGUGAUAGAUAUGUUAAUAUAAGCUUUAUUUAAUCAUCUCAUAAUGCAUACAUAAAUCAAAACAUUGCACCAUACCCCAUGAUUAUAUGCAGUCAUUAUUUGUCAAUUAAUAAUAAAAAUCUUAAAGAAUUUUUUAAAGUGUUUUGUCCUUGGGCAAGUUGCUCUGAGUCUUAUUCACGUGGUCUGUAAGGUAUCCGCACAUGUGUGACAGGGGUAGAGGUCAGGGGAUCUCAGAGCUGCAGUGGUCCAAGAUGGGAUCUCGGUCACAAAGGCCAGCAGAAGGGGGCUGGUUCUUGCUGCCAUUCAAGGAGAGCGCAGCUCCACACAGGUUUCCAAGGAAAGUACUUUUGGAAUGGUUUCAAGGCAGUCCUCUUGCAGGCUGAGCAAGGACCUUUCUCUAGGUGCUAUGCGUUCUGUGGGGUGAAUCAGCCAUUGUUCUCCCUGAAGAUGGGAAGAAAUGGGGCACCAGGACAUAUCAUUUCCAUUCAUCUUCUUGAGUUUCUGACAGCAUCCCUGGCUGAAGGGAGGAAGCCAUGACACUGUUUCUGUCAUUGCUGACACCAGUACCUCUUGGGUUUCUCCAGGCACUGUAGGCAGGGAUGGAGGAGAGGACUUACCAAGUCUUCCUUUGUCCACUGUGACUGUACAGGCAGGAUCGUUUCUGUGUAGUUUACACUGUAUUCUAGAAUACCACAGGAAGGCCAGCACUUAAAAUACAUUAACAUUAAGAGAAAAACCUCAGUUUUUUUUUUCUGUAAAUAACAACAGAGGGAUUUGAUUUGAAUGAGACAUUCAGGUUGAGGUUACACAUGCAGCACAUUUGAAAGAAAAAAAGGCUGAAUUCAGUUAGUGAGUCAUUUAUUUUGAAAAGAACUGGCUAUUAGUUGAACUCUGCAAAGUCUGAGUGAAAUUAAAUAAGCAAACAACUUGAUGUUUUGCCAGCAGUUUUCUGUUAACAAAUGGCUUUUGGUGUGGCCCAAUCUUGGAACGGUUGAUACUGUCAUUCUGAGCUGAUGCAAGGGACUGUGGGUCCUUGUUAUAGUAGCUCAACAGAAGAAAUCCACACGGAUGAGGCCUUAGUGGAGAAUAGUAUUUCAAACGCAAACGGUAGAGCAAUGCCCAAUGUAGCUCCAAAGACAUUCAUUAAUUAAACCUCAAUUUGGAGUCUUUGAGGCUCUCUUGCUAAGUUUGUUUCUUCAUGUAAAGACAAUGGGUACACAGCAAACUAAUAAAAAUAAAAGUAACAAUGACACUCUUUUUUUUUCAUGGACUAACACACUUUUAAAGGUGAGAGAAAAACAAGAGACUAUUUAAUUCAAUCAUUAGCUCUGUUUCCUUAUUUUGCAGAUGAGGCCUGCAGGAAGGACUCUGCUGUUUUCCUGAGGCAUAGAUUCCAGUUCCAUUUCUUUUUCAUGCCUCUGAGUUUCUGGAUUGGAAAGGACAGAUUACUUUUUCUGGUCCCAUUUUAAUUUUUCUCAAAACUCAUAAAAUAUCAUCAGAGUGCUUUUUAAUUUUUCUGAAAAGCAGGAAAUCGUAAGAUUGAUAAAUAGUUUAAUGUGAACCUGAUGGCUUGAUUAAUUAAUCACCAAGCUGAGGAACCACUACAAUUCAUAUGUCAAUUCAGACUAUUUUCGGGAAAUGAUUUGAAUCAAUUGCUAAUGAAAUUGAGAAAUUUAGGAGCUGCUUUCUGACUUCCAAAUGACAGGGCUCAUAUUUAACUCAAGAGCCGUGACAGUUAAUGACAACAUAAAAGUGCCAUGAAUUAUUUUCCAGACCAUGGGAAAAUUACGCAUCUCCCCAUUGAAACAGCUCUCAGCUCAUCAGCAUGAAAAUAAACAGACUUAAUCACACGCUAAGAAAUCUAUGAUGCUGUUAAAAACCUAGGUUCCUUUUGAAAUAAACAAAGACUAUAAUCCUUGGGAAUAAUUGUAAUAUUUCACAGCCUCUUCCUUAACCCAGAGUGAUAGAUGAACUUAGUGUGACUGAUAUUACAGGUGAAAGACUAUAGAAAAAAAUAUUGUGGAUGGUCCUUCUUCUACCCAAUUACUUUAAACCCUUAAAAUAGGUAGAGUUUAAUUUUUCUUCUCUACUUUAAUUCAUAGGCUGAGUUUCUCAGCACCUUUUAUGUUCAAAAGGGCUUGCUUUGUAUAUCUUUCCAUAAGUUUUCAUUUCAAGCCAGACUUUUAAGGUAAUUUAAAGUUACAUUUAGCUAUAACAAGACAGUUAUUGUGUGUUAAUGAAAUAUCAAUGGAAAGUGCACUGAUCAAUAUUUAAUCUAAUUAAGGUGUAUACAGAGCAAUAUCACUAUGUAAUUAACUCAAAACAGCAGAAGGGAUCCAUGCAUGUUUAAAUUUUUAUUAAUAUAUUUGUUAAGAAUUUUUAGAUCAUGCUGUUUUAUGGGCUUACUUGAG
rnacentral:lncRNA from 1 species